rnacentral:lncRNA from 1 species
AGAAAACACUUCUUCUGGAGCUCUUCCUCUGACCUUGCCAAGACUUGCUUAGAUGCCUUUUUACUGUUCUCACAAAAUACCUUCGACUUCCCUCUGCAACAGCACUUAAUGUAUCCAGGUGUGAUCACAUACUUACCUGCCUGCCCCUUCCCUUGACUGUGAUUGCCUUGAGGGUAGCCAGAUGUGGUGUGGCAUGUGCCUGUAAUCCUAGCUACUCUGGAGGCUGAGGCAGGAGAAUCGCUUGAACGUGGGAGGUGGAGGUUGCAGUAAGCCGAGAUCACGCCAUUGCACUCCAGCCUGGGCAACAAGAGUGAAACUCCAUCUCAAAAAAAUGAAAAAUAAAAUAAAGAUUUCUAAUUAUUUGAAGCUUUACAAUUU